GACGAACGCUGGCGGCGUGCUUAACACAUGCAAGUCGAACGGUAAGGCCCCUUCGGGGGUACGACGAGUGGCGAACGGGUGAGUAACACGUGAGCAACCUGCCCUUGACUUCGGAAUACCAGCUGGAAACAGCUGCUAAUACCGGAUAUGACCUUGGCCCUCAUGGGUUGAGGUGGAAAGCUCCGGCGGUCAGGGAUGGGCUCGCGGCCUAUCAGCUUGUUGGUGAGGUAAUGGCUCACCAAGGCUUCGACGGGUAGCCGGCCUGAGAGGGCGACCGGCCACACUGGGACUGAGAUACGGCCCAGACUCCUACGGGAGGCAGCAGUGGGGAAUACUGCACAAUGGGCGCAAGCCUGAUGCAGCAACGCCGCGUGCGGGAUGACGGCCU
rnacentral:rRNA from 1 species